rnacentral:rRNA from 1 species
AUUGAACGCUGGCGGCAGGCCUAACACAUGCAAGUCGAACGAGUGGCGGACGGGUGAGUAAUGUCUGGGCAUCGGCCUGAUGGAGGGGGACCACUACUGGAAACGGUAGCUAAAACCGUAUAGCAUCGGAUGUGUCGAGAUGGGAUUAGCUAGUGGGUGGGGUAAAGGCUAACCUAGGCGACGAUCCCUAGCUGGUCUGAGAGGAUGACCAGCCACACUGGAACUGAGACACGGUCCAGACUCCUACGGGAGGCAGCAGUGGGGAAUAUUGCACAAUGGGCGCAAGCCUGAUGCAGCCAUGCCGCGUGUAUGAAGAAGGCCUUCGGGUUGUAAAGUACUUUCAGCGGGGAGGCGUUACCCGCAGAAGAAGCACCGGCUAACUCCGUGCCAGCAGCCGCGGUAAUAC